UCCAGGGGGAUCCCCAAGUCCCAUGUUAUUCUGGAAGGUUGUGCCAAGAAGGCCCUUUUGGUCGCUGUCCUUCCCAUCUGGGUCUCUCUGCACCUUAAGAAGUGACUGUCCAUCUGGGCAGGCCCAGAACUGAUCGAUUGUGAACCCCCUCCCACUGGUUGGCAGAUACUGAGCAAGGCCUGGACUCCAUCCCUCAGCCAAAACCAAGAGGGAGCCCUGGCUGAUUUGGGAGACACUUGUUUGCCCAUCCUUGCUUGGCUGUCCAUGGGAGGAGAGAGAAAGGACUGUCCUCGCACUAUCCCCUGCUGAACAUGGUUCUUUGUGUUGACAUUUGGGGACCUGUGGCCUGACUCCCAGUGCUUAAAGAUCAGAUGGCUCAAGUGUAGGACCUGACUGGAAGUGCUCAGAACAAGAGCUCAGGCCUGGGUGCUGCUUUGAGAAAUGCAGGAGAAGCCUGGAGAGAGAUGUCUGGAGUGGCAACCAGCCCCUCCCUCUGGGAAAUGCCUAAACCUGAAGCCUGCAGGGAGCCCGGGAGGAUCCAGGACACCCACCACCAGCAGCCAGGACACCUCCAUCCUGAGACCCGGGGAACUGUGUGGAAAACAGGCAAGUCGGAUGAAACAGAGACAGAAAGCUCAUAUAGCAACACCCCUGCCGCACCUAACCAUCAAGCAGGGUCACAAAGAAGAUGACAAUUGCUAGUCACUAAUUGACAUUCACCUUCGGUGCAGCCACUACCCUUGAAAUCCUUUACCAGCCGACAGGCAGCUUUCAGUGCUGGCCCUGUGGGGAACUCCAAGUGCCAGUGCUCCCCACCCCCCACUCCAGCCCGCCCAGCUGGGAGGCCUGAGCCACACAAGGGUCCUAUAAGCCCUCCAGUAGGGCUGAAGAUCAAGACGGCCACCUUCGUCUUUCUGGAAAGCAACACUGGAGACUCGGCCCUUAUGGUCACUCUUGCUUAGUUCUUUUAGACAAAAGCAGGCUUCUUAGAGA